UGUGGUCACAGAGCGGAUCGAAGCAGGGCGGUGGGUUAGGAUUCACACAGGUUAGGGUUUUGAGUCAGCUACGGGGAGGGGGAGGUUUGAGAACUGGCCUCUGGGGCCACAGUGAGGGAAAGGCUCACUUUGGCUAACAAUGCUGAGGCGGGCAGGGCAGAGCAGUCCCAGGGUGUGUUGUCACUUGUCUCUCGUGCUUUCUGUGUCUUCUGUUCAUCUCGUGUAACAUGUCUCUUGCCUUAGUCCUCCCAGGAGCUUAUGAGAAACCCCAGGUCCUUCCGGUCAUCUCCCAUCUUUGUGUUCCUUGGCCCGGGGCCGACGCCGGCGAAGUUUCGAUUCGGGAGCUUGGAGAGGCAUCGGAAUCGCAUCUCUCUUCAGCAGCAUCAGAUCAGAUGUCUUUUUAGGUCUUUGUUCUCAGCUGUGUUGACAGCUGUAUGCUGUAAUCUUUCUUUACAGUGGAUAAGGACUUGUGCCGAUUCAAAGGCAGGCAGAGGCUUCCAGCCACAGGAUUCUCAGGCAUCCAUCUCUGCGGUUCUCGGAAUAAGUUGUUCCGUUAGCAUCUUUUUCCUCCAGGGUCAUCCGAGCCUGGCAGGCUCGCCUUUGGUCCCCCCUCGGUCAUCUUGUUCAGCAUUCUCUCGGUCCUCGUGAGGACUUUCUUGUCUCGGAGUUUUCUCUCCCUGUCGUGUCCCCUCGUCUCACGUGUCAUGGGUGUCUGGGGGUAUUCGGUCUGGAACUGCUCUGCCCUGCCACCCAGCCCGGUUGCAGGUGUUCAAGGACAAGUCCCGGGCACUUGUAAUUGGAGACUUGUAAUACGGGCUGUAGCUGGAGUCUAGGUGGUAUUCUUAUGUUGGCAGAAGGUGUCUGGAGCUGUGAAGUUACCCUGCAGCGCUUUGACUUUUUUCCUAACUUUCUUUCAGAUGCGGAUGGAUUGACCUCCUGGCAGAGCGCCCCAUCCCAGAUGAGGGAAUCCCCCUGAGAAAGAAGUAAAGCCGGAUAGCAGCAGUGAAGGCGAAGCAGGUAGAAGGUGGUCUGCUUGCAAGAUAUCCCAGCCCAGGAUGCCGGAGGACAGGCUCUGUGAAGAGAGGCAGACCUGAAGUUUGCGAUCGGCUGCACCGAAGCCGGCGCGGGGGACAUCUCGAUGUACACAUCCUAUCGAGGAUGGGUUGUGUCCUAUCAUGUUACGAAAGGUCUCCGAUGCCUAUUUUCUGAGGAUCUACCAUUUGAUGUUGAGAACCAGCAGCGAGAAGAUAUCUCGGGGCAUUUUGUUCAGCACAGUGCUUCAAAUAAGGGUUGUGGUCACUGUGUGAGUUAGAGUCUCCUGCUGUGUGUCAGAGUGUGUCUGUCUGUGAGAGUCGGUGGGUCUGGGUGUGCUUGUGUGUGUGUGUUGAGCGGUUCUAACCUUGUGUGCAUUGCUUUUGCUUUUCAGGACUUUA